AGCCUCCCCCCCCCCCCCCCUCUUAAGUUUAACUAAAAUAUUCUAUAGUCUAGUAAGACGAUUAAAAACUUCCAAGAGCUAUAAAUGUACCGCAAGGAAAGAUGAAAUAAAAAUGAAAUAAAUCUUAAGCACAAAAAAGUAAAGAUUCUUUCUUGUACCUUUUGCAUCAUGGUUUAGCUAGUAUAAUUAGGCAAAAAGACUUUAAGUCUAACCUCCCGAAACUAAGUGAGCUAAUUUAGGGCCGCUAAACGAGCUAACCCGUCUAUGUUGCAAAAUAGUGGGAAGACCCUAAAAUAGAAGUGACAGACCUAACGAACUUAGUAAUAGCUGGUUUCUCAAGAAAAGAAUUUAGUUCAGCAUAAAAUAACCCGACACCCAACAAUUUUCACCUUUAUUUUAAAGCAAUUCAAAUGAGGAACAGCCCAUUUGAUACAGGAUACAACCUUUACUAACGGGUAACACCGAUCCACACUUAAAAGUAGGCCCAAAAGCAGCCACCUUCUAAAAAGCGUCAAAGCUUAACAAUGUGAAUCUUAAAUUUACAGACUCCUACUGACCCCUUUAGCCGUACUGAGAACUUCUAUAAACUUAUAGAACCUUUUCUGCUAAAACUAGUAACAAGAGUAUUAUCCCCCUCUUUAAUGCAAACAUAACCCAGCAAGAACCAACCACUGGCAAUUAAUAGACAAUAAUGUAGCAACUUCACCAGAAAACCCUACUAUCACCCCCUAUUAACCUAACACCAGAGCAUUUCAAGAAAGAUUAAAAGAAAAAGAAGGAAUUCCGCAAACAUAGCCUCGCCUGUUUACCAAAAACAUCGCCUCUUGCCCACACCUAUAAGAGGUCCAGCCUGCCCAGUGACUCUGUUCAACGGCCGCGGUAUCCUAACCGUGCGAAGGUAGCGUAAUCACUUGUCUUCUAAAUAAAGACCAGUAUGAAAGGCAUCACGAGGGCUAAACUGUCUCCUUUCUCUAAUCAGUGAACCUAAUCCCCCCGUGAAGAAACGGGGAUUUCAAUAUAAGACGAGAAGACCCUAUGGAGCUUUAAACAUCAUAACACCUGCUAACUUUAAAUACUCCCGAUCUCUAACACAAUAGCAUGCUGAUUAUAAGUUUUUGGUUGGGGUGACCGCGGAGAAAAACCAAUCCCCCGCGAUGAAAGGGGUCCUCCCCUAAACUAUAAGCCACAACUUUACGUAUAAACAAAUUAACAUCAUUGACCUAAUAUUUAACCAACGAACCAAGUUACCCUAGGGAUAACAGCGCAAUCCACUUUAAGAGCUCCUAUCGACAAGUGGGCUUACGACCUCGAUGUUGGAUCGGGAUACCCUGGUGGUGCAGCCGCUACUUAAGGUUCGUUUGUUCAACGAUUAAAACCCCACGUGAUCUGAGUUCAGACCGGAGCAAUCCAGGUCAGUUUCUAUCUAUAAAAGGCUUUUUCUAGUACGAAAGGACCAAAACAGCACGGCCAAUAAUUAAUCAAUCCGUAACUCAUUACUUUUGACCACAACUCAAAAACCACUGAUCUUCCACCCCCC
rnacentral:rRNA from 1 species